UAAUAAUUUAUUAUUAUCCCCCCCAUCGGGGGACUACAUAUUAAAUGGAUUUUUCGAACAGGGAGUCGGAAAUGGGGCUUGCUCCGUCCGCUCCACGCAUCGACCCGGUAUUGCAGUACCUCCGGGAACGGUGC
ensembl:snRNA U2 U2 spliceosomal RNA